rfam:Roseburia sp. CAG:50 genomic scaffold, scf298
UGUUUACAGUGUCGAAAUCCUAAAAGCAUGUCAUGCUUGCAUGUAAAUGCUUUACAGGAUUAGCGACACGCCCCUCCAAUGAGAAAAAAAGCAGGACAGAGUCAUGCGAUUUUCGAAUGGAGGGAGGAUUGUGGGAGCUGGAACAGCGGAACAAUCCGUAAACA